rnacentral:rRNA from 1 species
GAGGAAUAUUGGUCAAUGGGCGAGAGCCUGAACCAGCCAAGUAGCGUGCAGGAUGACGGCCCUAUGGGUUGUAAACUGCUUUUGUAUGGGGAUAAAGUCAAUCACGUGUGAUUGUUUGCAGGUACCAUACGAAUAAGGACCGGCUAAUUCCGUGCCAGCAGCCGCGGUAAUACGGAAGGUCCGGGCGUUAUCCGGAUUUAUUGGGUUUAAAGGGAGCGUAGGCUGGAGAUUAAGUGUGUUGUGAAAUGUAGACGCUCAACGUCUGACUUGCAGCGCAUACUGGUUUCCUUGAGUACGCACAACGUUGGCGGAAUUCGUCGUGUAGCGGUGAAAUGCUUAGAUAUGACGAAGAACUCCGAUUGCGAAGGCAGCUGACGGGAGCGCAACUGACGCUGAAGCUCGAAGGUGUGGGUAUCGAACAGGAUUAGAUACCCUGGUAGUCCGCACAGUAAACGAUGGAUGCCCGCUGUUGGUACGUGGUAUCAGCGGCUAAGCGAAAGCAUUAAGCAUCCCACCUGGGGAGUACGCCGGCAACGGUG